GCAAGGAAUCUUCCGCAAUGGGCGCAAGCCUGACGGAGCAACGCCGCGUGGGGGAUGACGCCCUUCGGGGUGUAAACCUCUUUUCCCCGGGAAGAAGGCGACGCGAGUCGCGUGACGGUACCGGGGGAAGAAGGACCGGCUAACUACGUGCCAGCAGCCGCGGUAAUACGUAGGGUCCGAGCGUUGUCCGGAGUUACUGGGCGUAAAGCGCGCGCAGGCGGCGGCGUGGGCCUGGCGUGAAAGCCCCCGGCUCAACCGGGGAGGGUCGUCGGGGACCGCGCCGCUUGAGGGCGGCAGGGGCCGGUGGAAUGCCUGGUGUAGUGGUGAAAUGCGUAGAGAUCAGGCGGAACACCCGUGGCGAAGGCGGCCGGCUGGGCCGAUCCUGACGCUGAGGCGCGAAGGCGUGGGGAGCGAACGGGAUUAGAAACCCCGGUAGUCC
rnacentral:rRNA from 1 species